UUCUUAUCAAGAGCGACUGAGGGACCAGGCCCAAUGACGUCCAGCAACCCCCUAUAUGGAACGGUGCUAAUUCCUGCAGAUACGUAUGUAUCUGAAAGAUAAGAU
rnacentral:ncRNA from 2 species